ensembl:snoRNA
UGGACCAGUGAAGACACGUUGGUGGCAGAUAAGUCAUGGGUGGUGAAUAAUAUGUGUCUGGAGGCUCAGGUCCAA